GCGAGGUAGGAGGAGCGGUGAAGGAAACAGGCACAGAGAAAGAGAGACACUGACGGAGACGGAAACAACGACCACUUUUAAAAUGGGUAUUCAAACACAGAGGUCUUUAUUUGUAUGGACCAAUCAGCCUCUGGAGGCGUCCUGCCCUCGGCAGACGUCUAGUUGCAACCAUAACAGCUGCUGCUUUGCAGAAAGCUGGAAAAGUUCUGCUGUCAGGUGGACCAUUGGAAAAAAUAUAAUGAGCCACAUUUCAUACCUCCUCCGAAGGCAGAGCGCCAAGCAAGUGAGAGGCAACCGGCUUCAACGCUUGGACCGGCAACAAGAUGCCGCUGCUGCUGGUCACUACACGGAGGACGUUCAAAUGGAGAUGGAAAACAUAUUGUAUUUGAACUACAGUCUCAAACAAACACUCCCUACAGACAUUUGGGUCAGUUAAUUGGGAUUUCAGUGAGUGCCAGCGAACCAUCAAGUAAGGCACCGGGUUGAUGCUGGCUACUGUUCAUAUUGUGGUGCAUUAGCAAUUGAAAACCUCCCACACUGCUCUCAUUACCAGUCUCUAGACAGUUUGUGAGGCCAACAAAGAAUAAAUGUGUUGUCAUGAGUGAAAUUUAAGUAAGAUUUCUAUAUAUAUUCUAACAGAGGAAAAAAAGCUGUUUUGUUUUUUUGUAUGUAUUCUCUUUUGGAACUUUGAGCCUUAGAGUCCCAUUGUGUUUGAGAGCAGGCAAAAAUCUCUAUAGCUGAUAACUCCAAAACCAGGCCACUCCCACCAAAACAAUCAAUAGCACUACAGGCAAAAGGAAUGGAUUGUGUUGAUUUUGAGUAAAGUAAGUAUCAA